GAUGAACGCUAGCGAUAGGCUUAACACAUGCAAGUCGAGGGGCAGCAUGGUCUUAGCUUGCUAAGACUGAUGGCGACCGGCGCACGGGUGCGUAACGCGUAUGCAACUUGCCUCACAGAGGGGGAUAACCCGUCGAAAGACGGACUAAUACCGCGUACACUCCAUCUUGGGCAUCCAAGGUAGAGGAAAUGAAAUUCGCUGUGAGAUAGGCAUGCGUCCCAUUAGCUAGUUGGUGAGGUAACGGCUCACCAAGGCGACGAUGGGUAGGGGAACUGAGAGGUUGAACCCCCACACUGGUGCUGAGACACGGACCAGACUACUACGGGAGGCAGCAGUGAGGAAUAUUGGUCAAUGGGCGAGAGCCUGAACCAGCCAAGUCGCGUGAAGGAUGACUGUCUUAUGGAUUGUAAACUUCUUUUAUACGGGAAUAACAAGAGUCACGUGUGACUCCCUGCAUGUACCGUAUGAAUAAGCAUCGGCUAACUCCGUG
rnacentral:rRNA from 1 species